rnacentral:rRNA from 1 species
AUUGAACGCUGGCGGCAUGCCUUACACAUGCAAGUCGAACGGCAGCACGGGAGCAAUCCUGGUGGCGAGUGGCGAACGGGUGAGUAAUAUAUCGGAACGUGCCCGGUCGUGGGGGAUAACGUAGCGAAAGCUACGCUAAUACCGCAUACGAUCUACGGAUGAAAGCGGGGGGAUCGCAAGACCUCGCGCGAUUGGAGCGGCCGAUAUCAGAUUAGGUAGUUGGUGAGGUAAAGGCUCACCAAGCCGACGAUCUGUAGCUGGUCUGAGAGGACGACCAGCCACACUGGGACUGAGACACGGCCCAGACUCCUACGGGAGGCAGCAGUGGGGAAUUUUGGACAAUGGGCGGCAAGCCUGAUCCAGCAAUGCCGCCGUGCAGGAUGAAGGCUCGGUUAGGUUAACGUAGUACGUUUACGUUACGGUUAA